rnacentral:tRNA from 1 species
GCGAUUAUGGUAUUAGUGGUCAACAUAUCCCUCUGUCACAGGGAAGUCACGGGUUCGAAUCCCGUUAAUCGCGCCA